UACGGAGGGUGCGAGCGUUAAUCGGAAUUACUGGGCGUAAAGCGCGCGUAGGCGGUCAUGUAAGUCGGGUGUGAAAGCCCCGGGCUUAACCUGGGAAUUGCAUCCGAUACUGCAUGGCUAGAGUCUGGGAGAGGGAAGGGGAAUUCCGGGUGUAGCGGUGAAAUGCGUAGAUAUCCGGAGGAACACCAGUGGCGAAGGCGCCUUCCUGGCCUAAGACUGACGCUGAGGUGCGAAAGCGUGGGGAGCAAAC
rnacentral:rRNA from 1 species